rnacentral:rRNA from 1 species
UAAGCGGAGGAAAAGAAACUAACAAGGAUUCCCNUAGUAACUGCGAGUGAAGCGGGAAAAGCUCAAAUUUAAAAUCUGGUGGUCUUUGGCCAUCCGAGUUGUAAUUUAGAGAAGUGUCUUCCGCGCUGGACCGUGCACAAGUCUCCUGGAAUGGAGCGUCAUAGAGGGUGAGAAUCCCGUCUUUGGCAUGGACACACCAGGGCUUUUGUGAUGCGCUCUCGAAGAGUCGAGUUGUUUGGGAAUGCAGCUCAAAAUGGGUGGUGAACUCCAUCUAAAGCUAAAUAUUGGCGAGAGACCGAUAGCGAACAAGUACCGUGAGGGAAAGAUGAAAAGCACUUUGGAAAGAGAGUGAAACAGUACGUGAAAUUGUUGAAAGGGAAACGCUUGAAGUCAGUCACGUCGACCGAGACUCAGCCUUGCCUCGGCUUGGUGUACUUCUCGGCUGACGGGUCAGCAUCAAUUUUGCCCCUUGGAUAAUGGCGAGGGAAAUGUGACACCUUUAUGGUGUGUUAUAGUCUCUCGUCGCAUGCAAGGGUUGGGAUUGAGGAACUCAGCACGCGCCUUUUGGUGUCGGGGCUUUGCCCACGAUACGUGCUUAGGAUGUUGGCAUAAUGGCUUUAAACGACC